rnacentral:lncRNA from 1 species
AUGGUGUUGUUUGGGCUUUUGGGCUUUUGUGAAUUAAGUUGUCAUACAACAUAAGUCAAUGGGCUUGACGUUCGAAGCCCAUUAGGCCUAAACGUCCAAAACUAUCCCGAGGUCUUUAACGAACUUAUUCGUUUGAUUAAUUAACAUAUUAAUUAAUUCUUGCCAUAAAUAAUUAAACCAUUUAAUUAUUCUUACUCAUCUCCAUUGUUUCUUCAAUCUCCACCUUACACGGU